GACGAACGCUGGCGGCGUGCUUAACACAUGCAAGUCGAACGGAAAGGCCCUGCUUUUGUGGGGUGCUCGAGUGGCGAACGGGUGAGUAACACGUGAGUAACCUGCCCUUGACUUUGGGAUAACUUCAGGAAACUGGGGCUAAUACCGGAUAGGAGCUCCUGCUGCAUGGUGGGGGUUGGAAAGUUUCGGCGGUUGGGGAUGGACUCGCGGCUUAUCAGCUUGUUGGUGGGGUAGUGGCUUACCAAGGCUUUGACGGGUAGCCGGCCUGAGAGGGUGACCGGCCACAUGGGGACUGAGAUACGGCCCAGACUCCUACGGGAGGCAGCAGUGGGGAAUAUUGCACAAUGGGCGGAAGCCUGAUGCAGCAACGCCGCGUGCGGGAUGACGGCCUUCGUGUUGUAAACCGCUUUCGCCUGUGACGAAGCGGGAGUGACGGUAAUGGGUAAAGAAGCACCGGCUAACUACGUG
rnacentral:rRNA from 1 species